CAGUCGCCACGGUAAUACGUAUGUCACAAGCGUUAUCCGGAUUUAUUGGGCGUAAAGCGCGUCUAGGUGGUUAUGUAAGUCUGAUGUGAAAAUGCAGAGCUCAACUCUGUAUUGCGUUGGAAACUGUGUAACUAGAGUACUGGAGAGAUAAGCGGAACUACAAGUGUAGAGGUGAAAUUCGUAGAUAUUUGUAGGAAUGCCGAUGGGGAAGCCAGCUUGCUGGACAGAUACUGACGCUGAAGCGCGAAAGCGUGGGUAGCAAACAGGAUUAGAUACCCCUGUAGUCCCUGUCUCUUAUACA
rnacentral:rRNA from 1 species